AGUAGCAGGAACCUAUUCUUAAACAGAACCAUACAGAUGGAGAAUACAGUGAAUCAGGAGGGACGAAAAAAUAACGAAAAAAAGAUAUCUAUCCCAAUAAUCUCAAAGUACGUAUUAUGAAAUGAUCGCUGAAUUGAGAAGAAGAGAGAGAGCUAGGGAGAAGAGGAUUACCAGAGAAAUGCUUGCAGGAUUUGAUUCGGGAGAGCAAACCAACGAGGAAAAUAUCUUAGGAAGGUCAAAGUCCUUUUGUAACAAAGGAAACCCUA